GAGUUUGACGUAAUGCUAAGGCUUGGGUCCUGAAGUCAAUUGGUAAAAAAUGGAGGAAAUGGAAGGGUGAGCUGAAGAAACUCCACUACUCUUCUCAUGAGACUGAUGAGGAGCGGCUCGUAGAUCUUGAUGAGCGGGUCUAAGAGGAUCAAUGGAAGACUCUUGUUCAGUUUUGGAACUCUGAAGAGGGGAAGGCUCGUUCUAAAACAAAUAUAGAGAAUCGGAAGAAACAACUGAUUAACCACAUGGCAGGCACGAAGAGUUUUGUGCGAAUACAUGAAGAAGAGAGGAAAAAUGCCAAUGGGGAGGGUCUAAGCCAAGCAGAUAUGUUUAUAUUGACUCAUACAUGCAAAGAUGGAAACCCUGUGGAUGAAGCCUCAUCAGUAGUAAUGGCAAAACUCAAUGAAGAAAUCUCUUAGUAACCUAGAGCCUUAUAGAAUAGCACAACAACGAAUGAUCUAUUAUCUCAAGU